rnacentral:rRNA from 1 species
UACGGGGGGGGCAAGCGUUGUCCGGAUUUAUUGGGCGUAAAGAGCGUGUAGGCGGCCAGACAGGUCCGUUGUGAAAACUCGAGGCUCAACCUCGAGAUGUCGAUGGAAACCGUCUGGCUAGAGUCCGGAAGAGGAGUGUGGAAUUCCUGGUGUAGCGGUGAAAUGCGCAGAUAUCAGGAAGAACACCUAUGGCGAAGGCAGCACUCUGGGACGGUACUGACGCUGAGACGCGAAAGCGUGGGGAGCGAACAGG